GAUGAAGAACGUAGUGAAAUGCGAUAAGUAAUGUGAAUUGCAGAAUUCAGUGAAUCAUCGAAUCUUUGAACGCACAUUGCGCCCCCUGGUAUUCCGGGGGGCAUGCCUGUUCGAGCGUCAUUUCACCACUCAAGCCUCGCUUGGUAUUGGGCAACGCGGUCCGCCGCGUGCCUCAAAUCGACCGGCUGGGUCUUCUGUCCCCUAAGCGUUGUGGAAACUUUCGCUAAAGGGUGUUCGGGAGGCUACGCCGUAAAACAACCCCAUUUCUAAGGUUGACCUCGGAUCAGGUAGGGAUACCCGCUGAACUUAAGCAUAUCAUAAGCGGAGGA
rnacentral:misc_RNA from 1 species